UACAGAGGUCUCAAGCGUUGUUCGGAUUCAUUGGGCGUAAAGGGUGCGUAGGUGGCGCCGUAAGUCGGGUGUGAAAUUUCGGAGCUUAACUCCGAAACUGCAUUCGAUACUGCGGUGCUUGAGGACUGGAGAGGAGACUGGAAUUCAUGGUGUAGCAGUGAAAUGCGUAGAGAUCAUGAGGAAGGCCAGUGGCGAAGGCGGGUCUCUGGACAGUUCCUGACACUGAGGCACGAAGGCCAGGGGAGCAAACGGG
rnacentral:rRNA from 1 species